CCCACGAGCAGUCGGAGCAACUUUCAGUUGUGACGGCGUGCCUUUUGUAGAAUGAGCCAGCGAGUCGCUGGCGCGGGGCGAGGUUAACCGAAAGGGAGCCGGAGCGAAAGCGAGCCUUAACAGGGCGACUUGAGUCCCGCGCCGCGGACGCGAAGCCGGGUGAGCUAUCCGUGGGCAGGCUGAAGCGGGGGUAAGACCCCGUGGAGGGCCGAACGCACGUCGGUUGAAAACGGCGGCGAUGACCUGCGGAUAGGGGUGAAAGGCCAAUCAAACCCGGAGAUAUCUCGUUCUCCCCGAAAUAGCUUUAGGGCUAGCGUCGCGCGUUCACCGCCGGAGGUAGAGCACCGGAUGGACGAGGGGGCUUCGCCGCCUACCGAAUCCAACCGAACUCCGAAUGCCGGCGGCCCAGAGCGCGGCAGUCAGAGCAUGUGGGCUAAGCUGUGUGCUCGAGAGGGAAACAGCCCGGACCGCCCGCUAAGGUCCCCAAGUUCCAGCCGAGUGGCAAAGGAUGUGCGUCCGCCCAGACAACCAGGAUGUUGGCUUAGAAGCAGCCAUGCAUUCAAAGAGUGCGUAACAGCUCACUGGUCGAGUGGACAUGCGCCGACAAUACACGGGGCUAAGCUGGACACCGAAGCGGCGGGAUUUUAAUUCAUUAGAAUCGGUAGGGGAGCUUCCCAUGGGCGGAGAAGCCGGAGGGCGACCGACGGUGGAGCGCAUGGGAGUGAGAAUGCUGGCAUGAGUAGCGAGAGACGAGAGAGUAACUCGUCCGCCGUGAACCCGAGGUUUCCUGGGCAAGGCUAAUCCUCCCAGGGUCAGUCGGGGGCUAAGGCGAGGCCGGUAGGCGUAGCCGACGCGCAGCAGGCAGACAUUCCUGCACCGCGCACGCGGCGCUACGACCGACGGGGCGACGGAUGGGGGUGGCUCGGCGGGGUUCUGGACGUCCCCGUGAUGGAGCGCGGCCCGCGGACCAGGGAAAUCCGGUCCGCAGAAGGGCGAGGCUCCGGACGAAGCGACUGAGCGAAGCGAGUGAGCCCGAGGUCCCUAGAAAAACCCCUAGGCAGGCGCGUGCGCGCCCGUACCGCAAACCGACACAGGUGGGUGGGUAGAACAUACCGAGGCGAUCGGGUCAACCAUGGUCAAGGAACUCGGCACAAUGGCCCCGUAACUUCGGGAGAAGGGGUGCCCGCGCGUACGUGAACCGGCUUGCCCGGGGAGCGGAGGCGGGCCGCAGUGGAGAGGCCCAAGCGACUGUUUACCAAAAACACAGGACUCUGCAGAAGCCGCAAGGCGACGUAUAGGGUCUGACGCCUGCCCGGUGCCGGAAGGUCACGCGGAGGAGUUAGCCGAUUCGGCGAAGCCCCGAAGCCAAGCCCCGGUAAACGGCGGCCGUAACUAUAACGGUCCUAAGGUAGCGAAAUUCCUUGUCGGGUAAGUUCCGACCUGCACGAAAGGCGCAACGACUUGGGCGCUGUCUCGACCAUGGACCCGGUGAAAUUGCACUGGUCGUGAAGAUGCGACUUACCCGCGGAAGGACGGAAAGACCCCGUGAACCUUCACUGCAGCUUGGCAUUGGCCGCUGGUCCCGCGUGUAGAGGAUAGGCAGGAGGCUGAGAUCCGGAGGCGCCAGCCCCCGGGGAGCCGCCCUUGGAAUACUGCCCUCGCGCGACCGGCGUCCUAACCCGAGGCCGUCAACCGGCUCGGGGACCGUGCCAGGCGGGCAGUUUGACUGGGGCGGUCGCCUCCUAAAGGGUAACGGAGGCGCGCGAAGGUCCGCUCGGGACGGUCGGCAACCGUCCUUUUGAAUGCAAGAGUACAAGCGGGCUUGACUGCGAGGCCCACAAGCCGAGCAGGUGCGAAAGCAGGCUCUAGUGAUCCGGCGGCCCCGAGUGGGUGGGCCGUCGCUCAACGGAUAAAAGGUACUCCGGGGAUAACAGGCUGAUCUUGCCCAAGAGUCCACAUCGACGGCAAGGUUUGGCACCUCGAUGUCGGCUCAUCGCAUCCUGGGGCUGGAGCAGGUCCCAAGGGUACGGCUGUUCGCCGUUUAAAGCGGUACGCGAGCUGGGUUCAGAACGUCGUGAGACAGUUCGGUCCCUAUCCUCCGUGGGCGCAGGAGAAUCGAUGGAGGCUGCCCCCAGUACGAGAGGACCGGGGUGGACGCACCUCCGGUGAACCGGUUGUCGACCAACGGCACGGCCGGGUAGCCGCGUGCGGCGCGGAUAACCGCUGAAGGCAUCUAAGCGGGAAGCCGUUCCAGGGAUUAGUUCUCCUUCCGGUAAGGGCCCAGGUAGACUACCUGGUCGAUAGACGGCAGGUGCAAGGGCGGCGACGUCCUCAGCCGAGCCGCACUAAUCGCCCGAGCUCUUCCGGA
rnacentral:rRNA from 1 species